rnacentral:rRNA from 1 species
AUGUUGUUGGACGAGGGCGGGCUGGCGGAGGGCGUGUCGGCGGACGACGUGGAGGUCGUGUUCGGCUCCAUCGGUCGCAUCGCCGGCAUCGAGUUCGUGCGCACCAGCGGCCCUAGCUUCGCCUACAUCGGCUUCCACUGCCCCUCCCACAAGGUCAUGACCAAGUUCUCCACCUUGUUGUGGGUGCUGAUGGUUCCCCUGUCUUGGUUUCUUGGAAUGGCGAUUCAAGAAGGGGCAUCAUCGUGUGGAUGGACCAUAGGGCUCUUGACCAAGUCGAGUGAAUUAAUUCUCACAGUUCACCGGUAUUGCAAUUUUAUGGUGGGAGUGUCUCCCUAG